AGAACGAACGCUGGCGGCAUGCCUAACACAUGCAAGUCGAACGAGACCUUCGGGUCUAGUGGCGCACGGGUGCGUAACGCGUGGGAAUCUACCCUUGGGUUCGGAAUAACAGUUGGAAACGACUGCUAAUACCGGAUGAUGUCGCAAGACCAAAGAUUUAUCGCCCAAGGAUGAGCCCGCGUAGGAUUAGCUAGUUGGUGAGGUAAAGGCUCACCAAGGCGACGAUCCUUAGCUGGUCUGAGAGGAUGAUCAGCCACACUGGGACUGAGACACGGCCCAGACCCCUACGGGAGGCAGCAGUGGGGAAUAUUGGACAAUGGGCGAAAGCCUGAUCCAGCAAUGCCGCGUGAGUGAUGAAGGCCUUAGGGUUGUAAAGCUCGUUUACCGGGAUGAUAAUGACAGUACCGGAGAAUAAGCUCCGGCUAACUCCGACGCCAGCCAGCCGC
rnacentral:rRNA from 1 species